rnacentral:tRNA from 1 species
GGGCGGGUAGCUCAGCUGGUUAGAGCGCUGCCCUUACAAGGCAGAGGUCACAGGUUCAAAUCCUGUUCCGCCUACCA